CCUACGGGAGGCAGCAGUGAGGAAUAUUGGUCAAUGGACGAGAGUCUGAACCAGCCAAGUCGCGUGAAGGAUGACUGCCCUAUGGGUUGUAAACUUCUUUUAUAUGGGAAUAAAAUGUUCCACGUGUGGGAUUUUGUAUGUACCAUAUGAAUAAGGAUCGGCUAACUCCGUGCCAGCAGCCGCGGUAAUACGGAGGAUCCGAGCGUUAUCCGGAUUUAUUGGGUUUAAAGGGGGCGUAGGUGGAUUGUUAAGUCAGUUGUGAAAGUUUGCGGCUCAACCGUAAAAUUGCAGUUGAAACUGGCAGUCUUGAGUACAGUAGAGGUAGGCGGAAUUCGUGGUGUAGCGGUGAAAUGCUUAGAUAUCACGCAGAACUCCGAUUGCGAAGGCAGUUCACUGGACUGCAACUGACACUGAGGCUCGAAAGUGUGGGUAUCAAACAGGAUUAGAUACCCGAGUAGUC
rnacentral:rRNA from 1 species